GUCUCACUAAGGUUCUUAGGGCCUCACUAAAUGGCUGAGGCUGGCCUCACACUUGCGAUCUUCCUACCUCACCCUCCUGGGUCAGUGGGAUUACAGGUGGGCACCAGUGUGCUUGGCUUCUAGACUUUCUUAAGUGUCAGACCCUCUUGUCUAAAUGGGAGUGUGGGUUUUGUUUUUCAGUUCUGAGGAGGUAACCCGUGGCCUCACAUGUGCUAGGCAGACCCUCUACCUCUGAGCUGGAUCCCCAGCCUGUGGCUUGUUCUUUGUCCAGGAUUCACAGGGACAGAGCCCCAGCCACACUGCCGGGAGAGCCAAUCAGCUGGUGCAGGAGUCCAGGUUGGGACACAACACUCUUGGGGCCAGAGCUGGC
rnacentral:lncRNA from 1 species